rnacentral:rRNA from 1 species
CCCCUCCUAGUUUUAACUUACACAGCCUAUAUACCGCCGUCGUAAGCUUACCCUGUAAAGGACUAAAAGUAAGCCUAAUCAAUUAUUAUUCUAAACGUCAGGUCGAGGUGUAGCUAAUGAAGGGGGCAGAGAUGGGCUACAUUCACUAAUUUUAGUGAAAACGAACGACUAUACUGAAAUGCAUGUCCGAAGGAGGAUUUAGAAGUAAGCUGAGAAAUAGAGUGUCCAGCUGAAUUUUGGCUCUGAAGCACGUACACACCGCCCGUCACUCUCCCCAAAAAUAAUUAUAUUUUAAUUAAAACAUCACUUAAAAUAAAGGGGAGGCAAGUCGUAACAAGGUAAGUGUACCGGAAGGUGUACUUGGAGCA